rnacentral:rRNA from 1 species
AAGUUUCUGCGAAGUGAAGCGGGAAAAGCUCAAAUUUAAAAUCUGGCAGUCUCUGGCUGUCCGAGUUGUAAUCUAGAGAAGUAAUGCCCGUGCUGGACCGUGUAUAAGUCUCCUGGGAUGGGGCGUCAUAGAGGGUGAGAAUCCCGUCUUUGACACGGACUACCAGUGCAUUGUGGUAUGCUCUCAAAGAGUCGAGUUGUUUGGGAAUGCAGCUCAAAAUGGGUGGUAAAUUCCAUCUAAAGCUAAAUAUUGGCGAGAGACCGAUAGCGAACAAGUACCGUGAGGGAAAGAUGAAAAGAACUUUGGAAAGAGAGUUAAACAGUACGUGAAAUUGCUGAAAGGGAAACGCUUGAAGUCAGUCGCGUUGGCCGGGGAUCAGCCUUGCUUUUGCAUGGUGUACUUUCUGGUUGACGGGUCAGCAUCAAUUUUGACCGCUGGAAAAAGACCUGGGGAAUGUGGCAGCUUCGGCUGUGUUAUAGCCCCUAGUCGCAUACAGUGGUUGGGAUUGAGGAACUCAGCACGCCGCAAGGCCGGGUUUCGACCACGUUCGUGCUUAGGAUGCUGGCAUAAUGGCUUUAAGCGACCCGUCUUGAAACACGGACCAAGGAGUCUAACAUGCCUGCGAGUAUUUGGGUGGAAAACCCAAGUGCGUAAUGAAAGUGAAAGUUGAGAUCCCUGUCGUGGGGAGCAUCGACGCCCGGACCAGAACUUUUGGGACGGAUCCGCGGUGGAGCAUGUAUGUUGGGACCCGAAAGAUGGUGAACUAUGCCUGAAUAGGGUGAAGCCAGAGGAAACUCUGGUGGAGGCUCGUAGCGAUUCUGACGUGCAAAUCGAUCGUC